CUACUGCUUGCACCACUGUUCUGACCCCUUGUUAUUCAUCUUUCAGAUGAACAUCAUAACUUACUUAUGGUAAGACUGGAUAGAUAAUCCUAAGAUUCUUCCUAAAACUGUUAUGUUAGCUAAAAAUAGAUAGGGUGACACUCGAGAAGUACACUCUUUAAAUGUCAUAGCCUCUGGGAAGUUAGAAAUUAUAAACAUUGCUUUCAGAUUCUUGUUAUCAAACACUCAUUUUGUAGACACUUAACUGACAAUGCCAUAAAACCAGAAGUGCUUAUCUUACACUCAGCCAACCUGGGACCAACCCCUGGCAUCCCAUAUGGUCCCCAGAGCCCUACCAGGAGUGAUUUCCUGGAACAAAAGAAAGUUUUAUCAGUUUCUCCUAGAAAAAUGUUAUAGGAGUUGGUUAUAUUAAGGUAAACAGUUAUAGCUUUAUUUUUGUUUUAUGGGCCACACACAACUGCACAGGGUUUAUUUCUGGCUCUGCAGUCAGGGGUCACUCCUGGCAGGUUCUAAGGGCCAUUUCUGAGGCUGGGGAUUGUAUUCAAUGCUGGAUAUCAAACCUGGAUCACCUACAUGCAAGGCAAAUGCCCUA